GCUUAGCCCUAAACAUAGACAGUCAAAAACACAACACUGUCCGCCAGAGAACUACAAGCGAAAAACUCAAAACUCCAAGGACUUGGCGGUGCUCCAUAUCAACCUAGAGGAGCCUGUCCUAUAAUCGAUACCCCACGUUAAACCCUACCACCUUUAGCCCAUCAGCCUAUAUACCGCCGUCGUCAGCCUACCUUGUGAAAGAAACAACAGUAAGCACAACAGUUAUUAACUAACACGUCAGGUCAAGGUGUAGCAUAUAAGGUGGAAGAGAUGGGCUACAUUUUCUGCCACAGAAAAAACGAACGGUACAAUGAAAUAAGUACCCGAAGGCGGAUUUAGCAGUAAGACAGACAAGAGAUGCUAUCUUAAACUCGCUCUGGAGCGCGC
rnacentral:rRNA from 1 species